AAAUGACUUGGGGUCGGAUAACUAGUUGAGAUCGAUUAAACGCCUACUAGGGGGAUCGACAUAAUUGCAAUUAUUUGAACUAUGAUUUUGAAGAAUGACCAAAAUAUGGUGUCUACAAACAUCCACCAUUUUAUUCCAAAUAUUGUUACAGCCUAGUGCCUUAAUCAUCAAGGAAUGAUGGAUUCGAUAAUAGGUCCUUCCUGUGGAUUUGGAAAGGGCAUUGAUGGUGGCAGUGGCGGAAGUGGUUGAGCUUGGGGAGUAUUUGUCCUCUCCUCAGUUUUUGUCUUUGAUACCCCAGCAUUCUCCCUGAGCUUUUCGAGCUUCUGCAUUAUCUUUUUCUUCAUAUCAAGUCUCCCAACACGAGCUUCCGCUGGUUCUACCGCAGAGAGAACGAUGAUUCCACCUAAAGUUUCAGCUGUAAGAUAUAGCAAUGCAUCUCUCCGUGAAACGUUCAGUGUUUUUGGUGCUUGCAGUGUCUCCUCUUUCAAUCUUACCACCUGAAUCACUGGCCGCUUGAUGGCAGGUAAUCUUCCUUCUGUAGUUAUGUGGUGGAGUGGGUUCCUUACGCCCUUCGAAUUUGAGAAUGCCAUGAGUUACGGCGGAGAUCGCUGGGAAAACCACCUGAGCUGAGCUAAUCUUCUCUUCUUGCACUCAGGUCAGAAACACAGGGCACCUUACCAAAUGUGGCGAAAGGGCGAGGGACUUU
rnacentral:misc_RNA from 1 species